rnacentral:rRNA from 1 species
CGUGUAGGCGGUUUUCCAAGUUGGGUGUGAAAGCCUUGGGCUUAACCCAAGAAAUGCACUCAGUACUGGAAGACUAGAGGACCGGAGAGGAUAGUGGAAUUCCCAGUGUAGUGGUGAAAUACGUAGAGAUUGGGAAGAACACCAGUGGCGAAGGCGGCUAUCUGGACGGUUUCUGACGCUAAGACGCGAAAGCGUGGGGAGCAAACA